rnacentral:rRNA from 1 species
CCUACGGGAGGCAGCAGUAGGGAAUAUUGCUCAAUGGGGGAAACCCUGAAGCAGCAACGCCGCGUGGAGGAUGAAGGUUUUCGGAUUGUAAACUCCUUUUGUCAGAGAAGAUAAUGACGGUAUCUAACGAAUAAGCACCGGCUAACUCCGUGCCAGCAGCCGCGGUAAUACGGAGGGUGCAAGCGUUACUCGGAAUCACUGGGGGUAAAGAGCGCGUAGGCGGGAUAGCAAGUCAGAUGUGAAAUCCUAUGGCUUAACCAUAGGACGGCAUUUGAAACUGUUAUUCUAGAGUAUGGGAGAGGUAAGUGGAAUGCUUGGUGUAGGGGUGAAAUGCGUAGAGAUCAGGAGGAAUACUCAUUGCGAAGGCGACCUGCUAGAACGUAACUGACGCUGAUGCGCGAAAGCGUGGGGAGCAAACAGGAUUAGAUACCCGAGUAGUC